rnacentral:tRNA from 1 species
GGUGGCUCAAUGGUAGAGUGCUUGCCUCGCAUACAUGAGGCCCUGGGUUCAAUUCCUAGCACCA